UGCCAGCCGCCGCGGUAAUACGGAGGAUGCAAGCGUUAUCCGGAUUCAUUGGGUUUAAAGGGUACGUAGGUGGCCAAUUAAGUCAGUGGUGAAAUCCUGCCGCUUAACGGUAGAACUGCCAUUGAAACUGGUUGGCUUGAGUACAGUUGAGGUAGGCGGAAUGUGUAGUGUAGCGGUGAAAUGCUUAGAUAUUACACAGAACCCCGAUUGCGAAGGCAGCUUACUAAACUGUAACUGACACUGAGGUACGAAAGCGUGGGGAGCGAACAGGAUUAGAUA
rnacentral:rRNA from 1 species